rnacentral:rRNA from 1 species
GGCACCUACGGGAGGCAGCAGUGGGGAAUAUUGGGCAAUGGGCGCAAGCCUGACCCAGCAACGCCGCGUGAAGGAAGAAGGCUUUCGGGUUGUAAACUUCUUUUCUCAGGGGCGAAGCAAGUGACGGUACCUGAGGAAUAAGCCACGGCUAACUACGUGCCAGCAGCCGCGGUAAUACGUAGGUGGCAAGCGUUAUCCGGAUUUACUGGGUGUAAAGGGCGUGUAGGCGGGAAAGCAAGUCAGAUGUGAAAAACACGGGCUCAACCUGUGGCCUGCAUUUGAAACUGUUUUUCUUGAGUACCGGG